rnacentral:rRNA from 1 species
UAAACUAGGAUUAGAUACCCUAUUAUUUUAGAAUGUUAAUUGCUUGAGUAGUAUUAGUUAUGUUCUUGAAACUUAAAGAAUUUGGCGGUAUCUCAUUCCGUUCAGAGGAAUCUGUCUCGUUAUCGAUAGUCCGCGUUGGACCUUACUUAGGUUUGUAUACCGCCGUUUAUUGAUUAUCUUUUUAGAGGUUUUAAUUUUCUUUAUUUUUUAUUUUGAUUUAUUUCAGGUCAAGGUGCAGCUUGUUUCUAAGUGAAUGAUGGAUUACAUUAUUAUUUGUUUUUGGAUUGUUUUAUUUGAAUUUGGGCAUGAAAUUGGAUUUGGUUGUAAUAAUUUGUAGAUUGUUAUUAUGAUAAUUGGUUCUGAGAUAUGCACACAUCGCCCGUCGCUCUCGUAUUAAUGAGAUAAGUCGUAACAUAGUA